rnacentral:rRNA from 1 species
GAUGAACGCUGGCGGCGUGCUUAACACAUGCAAGUCGAACGGAAAGGCUCCUGCUUGCAGGGGUACUCGAGUGGCGAACGGGUGAGUAACACGUGGGUGAUCUGCCCUGCACUUCGGGAUAAGCCUGGGAAACUGGGUCUAAUACCGGAUAGGACGAUGGUUUGGAUGCCAUUGUGGAAAGUUUUUCGGUGUGGGAUGAGCUCGCGGCCUAUCAGCUUGUUGGUGGGGUAAUGGCCUACCAAGGCGUCGACGGGUAGCCGGCCUGAGAGGGUGUACGGCCACAUUGGGACUGAGAUACGGCCCAGACUCCUACGGGAGGCGGCAGUGGGGAAUAUUGCACAAUGGGCGCAAGCCUGAUGCAGCGACGCCGCGUGGGGGAUGACGGCCUUCGGGUUGUAAACUCCUUUCGCUAGGGACGAAGCGCAAGUGACGGUACCUGGAGAAGAAGCACCGGCUAACUACGUG